rnacentral:rRNA from 1 species
GACGAACGCUGGCGGCGUGCUUAACACAUGCAAGUCGAACGGAAAGGCCCUGCUUUUGUGGGGUGCUCGAGUGGCGAACGGGUGAGUAACACGUGAGUAACCUGCCCUUGACUUUGGUAUAACUUCAGGAAACUGGGGCUAAUACCGGAUAGGAGCUCCUGCUGCAUGGUGGGGGUUGGAAAGUUUCGGCGGUUGGGGAUGGACUCGCGGCUUAUCAGCUUGUUGGUGGGGUAGUGGCUUACCAAGGCUUUGACGGGUAGCCGGCAUGAGAGGGUGACCGGGGACAAGGGGACUGAGAGACGGACCAGAGGGCAACGGGAGGCAGCAGGGGGGAAUAUUGCACAAUGGGAGGAAGCCUGAGGCAGAAACGCCGCGGGCGGGAUGACGGCCUGCGGGGUGUAAAAAGCUGUCGCCUGUGACGAAGCGUGAGUGACGGUAAUGGGUAAAGAAGCACCGGCUAACUACGUG